AAUGAACGCUGGCGGCGCGCCUAAUACAUGCAAGUCGAGCGAGAAGACGUAGCAAUACGUUUGUAAAGCGGCGAACGGGUGAGGAAUACAUGGGUAACCUACCCUCGAGUGGGGAAUAACUAGCCGAAGGUUAGCUAAUACCGCGUACGCUUCUUGGACUUCGGUUCAGGGAGGAAAGCGAUGCCGAGGGUAUCGCGCUCUUGGAUGGGCUCAUGUCCUAUCAGCUUGNGGUGAGGUAACGGCUCACCAAGGCUUCGACGGGUAGCUGGUCUGAGAGGACGAUCAGCCACACUGGCACUGCGACACGGGCCAGACUCCUACGGGAGGCAGCAGUAAGGAAUAUUGCGCAAUGGGCGAAAGCCUGACGCAGCGACGCCGCGUGGGGGAUGAAGGUCUUCGGAUUGUAAACCCCUUUCGAAUGGGACGAAUGAAUCGCGCACUAACACUGCGCGGAAA
rnacentral:rRNA from 1 species